UGAGGAAUUUUGCGCAAUGGGGGAAACCCUGACGCAGCGACGCCGCGUGGGUGAUGAAGGCUUUCGAGUCGUAAAGCCCUGUCAAGUGGAAAGAAUUGUCGAUGUGCUAAUACCGCAUUGAUUUGACGGUACCACUAAAGGAAGCACCGGCUAACUCCGUGCCAGCAGCCGCGGUAAUACGGAGGGUGCAAGCGUUGUUCGGAAUUACUGGGCGUAAAGGGCGCGUAGGCGGCGCUGUAAGUCGGAUGUGAAAGUCCACGGCUUAACCGUGGAAGUGCAUCUGAUACUGCAGUGCUUGAGUAUCGGAGGGGAAAGUAGAAUUCCCGGUGUAGAGGUGAAAUUCGUAGAUAUCGGGAGGAAUACCGGUGGCGAAGGCGACUUUCUGGACGAAUACUGACGCUGAUGCGCGAAAGCGUGGGGAGCAAACAGG
rnacentral:rRNA from 1 species